ensembl:lncRNA
AUGCAAAUGUUUCUUCCCCUUUCCCUCCUUCCCAAACACCUCCUCCUCCUUGGUGGCCCCCUCCUCCUCGGGAUGGCAGUGGGGGACAGACUACAGUUCUGCUUUCUGGUGACAGCCAGGAUCAUCUGAAGCUCAGCCUCUGGGGUCUUGCGGAGCUGGUUUCCUGCCUUCCUCUCGUGCCCUCCUGCUUCCCUCCACCAAUCAAAAUUGUCUGGCUGGGGUCCCUCCUGUGGGUUCCCACAGCACUCUGGGCUUCUUCCAUCACAACCAGAAUGAAAACCGCUGCUGUGACUCCUGAGCUGAGUUCUCCAAGGAAGGGUCUGAUUCUCCACUAAAGGCCAACACCGGACACCCAAUGGGGAAACUGAGGCACAGGCAAGGGACAGCAGCUCUCCAGGGAUGUGCUUGUACCCAGCCAUUCUCUGAGGAUCUCCUGCUGGGGGAGCCGAGGAUUCAUUGCCAAAAGGCACAGCCUCAGGAGCCAGUUGUCCCUGCUGUUUUCCUGAUCCUCUCCCACCAGUGGCCUCCAUCCACAUCUGGGCCUGAGCCUGGGCUUUGCAGCCAGCAUCAUGUAUCCUGAGCUAAGCUGGCUUGGCAGACCAGAACAUAUCCCAGAUCACAGAGGCCAACUGCCUCCCGUGGCCAGCAAGGGUGGACUCCGUCUGCCACACAACAACGAUGACGACAACAAUAAUAAUCACAAGUGCGCCCAGCAUUUCCUGAGCACAUACCAGGCCCCAGGCCUUGGGCAAAGUCCUGCACUGUCUCAGCCUUCUCAGAACCACGUCCACUUUACAGAUGGGGAAACCAAGCCCAGUGAGGUCAAGGCCAUUUCCCCAUCUCACUUGGGAUCCCCAGCUCAUCACCAUCACACACUUCGGUUGGAGGUGGGACCCUCGGUCAGCACCCUGCCCUGGCUCCAUCCUUUCCUGACUGGGUCCUCUGUACACCGACCCUACCUAAUGGGGGGUUUCAGGCAACACAGAAUGGGCCCCCACUCCCUGAUCGAUCCCCUGAUGUCUGGCACAGAGCAGAGCCCAUGAACAAAGCGUGAGGAUGCUGCUCCCUAUGUCACCCCUGCUGGCUCCGCUGCCCUCCCGCUCCGCUCCUCGAGCAGCUCUGUGUGGGGCUGCUCACAGGGCUGCUGGGCUGCCAACAGCAGAAGGGCCAGGCUGCCGCCUCAUACCAGUGCUGGGCCCGAGGCUUCAUUCUCUGGCUGUGUGACUAUGGGCCCAUUACCAAACCUCUCUGUGCCUCGGCCGCUUUAUCUGAAUCACACCUGACUCCACCGCCUGCCUCAUCCCUCAUCUCCAAUCCAUCCUGUCACCUGCCCAGGCCACAUACCUGAGUGUUCAAGUCACUGAUGGCCCUUGUCUGGAAGGGAGCACUGGCUCCUAGCAACUCCAGGUGUCCCCUGGGUGCCUCCCCUAAACCCUUGGCUCAGAUGCCAGAGAGC